rnacentral:rRNA from 1 species
UACGGAGGGUGCAAGCGUUAUCCGGAUUCACUGGGUUUAAAGGGAGCGUAGGUGGCUUUGUAAGUCAGUGGUGAAAUAUUGCGGCUCAACCGCAAAACUGCCAUUGAUACUGCUUAGCUUGAAUCACGUCGAGGUGAUGGAAUAAUACAUGUAGCGGUGAAAUGCUUAGAUAUGUAUUAGAACACCGAUUGCGAAGGCAGUUCACUAGGCGUGUAUUGACACUGAGGCUCGAAAGCGUGGGGAUCAAACAGG